ACUCAAAUGAAUAGACGGGGGCCCGCACAAGCGGAGGAACAUGUGGUUUAAUUCGAUGAUACGCGAGGAACCUUACCCGGGCUCGAACGGCGGAUGAAUACAGGUGAAAGUCUGUAGUCGCAAGACAUCUGUCGAGGUGCUGCAUGGUUGUCGUCAGCUCGUGCCGUGAGGUGUCGGCUUAAGUGCCAUAACGAGCGCAACCCUUAUUGUUAGUUACUAGCAGGUAAAGCUGAGAACUCUAACGAGACUGCCACCGUAAGGUGUGAGGAAGGUGGGGAUGACGUCAAAUCAGCACGGCCCUUACGUCCGGGGCGACACACGUGUUACAAUGGGAGGGACAAAAGGCAGCUACCCGGCGACGGGAUGCCAAUCUCUAAACCCUCUCCCAGUUCGGAUCGAAGUCUGCAACCCGACUUCGUGAAGCCGGAUUCGCUAGUAAUCGCGCAUCAGCCAUGGCGCGGUGAAUACGUUCCCGGGCCUUGUACACACCGCCCGU
rnacentral:rRNA from 1 species